rnacentral:lncRNA from 1 species
AAUGAAAGAGAGAGAAAGCACGAAGAGAGAGAAUUUUUGAAGAUAAGAAGACUCGGUAUUUUUUUCUCAUUUGAAAACUGAGAAAGGGGGGCAUCUUUUAUAGGUGCAGAUGACUGUGAAAGCUCCAUGUGUGGGAACGACACAUGGAAUUGUUGUUUGUGCAUGGAGAGUUCGUGAAACGGUCACACGAAACAUUGCCGC